rnacentral:lncRNA from 1 species
CGGAAAUUUGUCCUCGCUCCACCCAGCCACCCCAGGGGACCUUCUGUGCCGGAUAGAGCCCAGGGUAGAGCGUGAGUGCCCAGGAUGGAACCUGCCCUGUGCCCAGUCCACAGCCCCUGGCCCAGUGAGGUCUCCCCACCAGGCAAGGCCAUAGGUGCCAUGAGACCAGCACCCUUCGGGGGACUCCCUGGGAGCCUGACAGAGAACUGGAGGAAGUCAGAGGAGGGGGAAAGAAAGGAGAAAAGGGAGAGAGAUGCUCAACCAAUAGCUGUUUAUUGAAGGAGACAUUUGAACCACAGAGGUAAAUCAAGAUGUCAGGAUCAGCAGAAGGUGAAGCUUCCCAUGAUACUGCAACCACGUGAAAUGCUGAGUACCAUGAUUUUAGGUAUUUUAAGGAUACAAAUCCCAGCUCAAAAACAAGAAUAUGUGAUUUUCAGGUUUUAAGAGAGAGAACAGGAAUCUAUACCAGCAAGAAGGGGUCACAGCCCACAUAGCCCAUGGGAAUAGCAGGGGAUCUCACUGAGUCACUAAAUCACCCAGACUGUACUUGAACUUUUGGCCUUCCUGCUUCAGCGUCCCAGAGUGCUGGGGGCUGAAAUUUUAAUGCCUGGUUUGGGACCAGGUUCAGGAUACUGGUCCUUCUGUUGUCAUGAAUUCAAACCUGAGCUCCCAAUGUGAAGGUGGGUGUCAGAACCCAUUACAGGAACAGAAUUCCUCAGCUGUCAGCCUGGGAUCACCACAGGAGUAGAGGUACCUUCCAGGCCUUGGCUGGAAUAAAGGACAUUACACCAGGCCAGAGCCUCAAGCCUAUAACCUACACCGGUGCAAGGUCCAGAUGUAAGCUGCCUGCACAGUGCAGAAAUUGUCAGCUGAAGCAUUGCGUAAAAACAAUUUGGAGUUACCGAGCCUGCAGGGAGCUCACAGAUCAAAAUUGUGAAUCACAUAAAAAAUGUGUAUACCGUGAUAGACAGCACACAGACCCAGCAUAUGGAAGAAUUCACACCUGAGGAAUUAGAAAUGAUACCAACUAUGACUCCAACCAGGCCAUGGCUACAGGAGGCACUCAUGAACCAAGCAGCAAUGAGACAGGCCUGUUCAUGGCACCUGGCCAUUGCUGACAGGAGAGGAGGCAUUGAUCAAGAGGAUAGGAAGUGACAGAACCAUUUCAGCAAGGAAGUGUAGUUGAGCACUGACAUCGGAUUGUGUAAACUAUGAGUGUAUUCUGUG